rnacentral:lncRNA from 1 species
GUUUGGUUACUUGGAUUGCCCUGAAGACAACCUCCUGAGCACCUCAUGCUGGCAAGUGGCCGUGAUCCUGACACAUGCACAGGGCUCGAUGACUCAGGUGGAAUUAUCGUCUCCAUUUUAUAAUGAGGACUUCGAUGCUGAAAUGGUCAGUGAAUUGCCCAGAGUCACACAGUUAAUGAGUGUUGAACAGAAUUAGAACCCAGAUAGUAAAAUCCAGAGCCAGCAUCAUCUCUGAUGAGUUUGGGGAUCGGAAAGAAUGACAGGCCUUGCAUCCCACGUGGAAUUCUGGGGGGAGAGAAAUCUGACAAUAUUCAUGUGAGAGGCAACCUCUAAGAUGUCGCCCAGUGAACUCCACCUCCUGGUGCUGACGUGCUUUCGUAGUGCUGUUCCACAUUGCAUCAAAGUGAUGAAUAGAUUGGUAUGUGACUUCUGAGGCUAGGUCACCAGGACAAUGUGGCUUCUUCUUUGCUCUCUCUCUCGGAUCACUCACUCUGGGGGCAGCUAGCUGUCACGUCCUGAGGAGUCUUCAGGAGAAGCCUACAGGGUGAGGAACCGAGGUCUCUGGCCAACAGCCAGUGAGGACUGAGGCCUCCUGCCAGUGUGUGACUCCUGCCAUGAGUGACCUCGGGAGUGGAUCCUCCAGCCCCAGCCAAACUUUUGGAUGUCUGCAGCCCUCCUGACGUCUUGACUACAGCUUCAUGUGGGACCCUGAGCCACAACCACCCAAAGCAAGAGAAAAGAAAUAGAUCGUUGGUGUCA